rnacentral:rRNA from 1 species
UACGUAGGGUGCAAGCGUUGUCCGGAAUUAUUGGGCGUAAAGAGCUCGUAGGCGGUUUGUCGCGUCGGCUGUGAAAACCUGGGGCUCAACCCCGGGCCUGCAGCCGAUACGGGCAAACUAGAAUUCGGUAGGGGAGACUGGAAUUCCUGGUGUAGCGGUGAAAUGCGCAGAUAUCAGGAGGAACACCGGUGGCGAAGGCGGGUCUCUGGGCCGAUAUUGACGCUGAGGAGCGAAAGCGUGAGGAGCAAACAGG